UUCUUUCUCGUUGAAAAUUUUCGUACCGCAUUUUCUCUCUCUCGUUGAAAGUUUCGGACAUUAUCAUCUUCUCCAUUUCUUCUUAUGCUUUACUGUCAUCUUGCUGAAAUUAUCCACAAAAUCACUUUAAAUCACCUUUUUCAUCCCUAAUUUGAGCUACCCAAAGGAUUUGGGCAACUUUAGUGACCUCGCAAAUAGCAAAAAUCCCUAGAUUGGUGCUGCACUUGCUUGCUGGCAAGAACACAGAAAAUUGGCCGUGAAUUUUGGGGGAAAGCCAGAGUUCGAAGACUGAAUCUUAAGGAAAACAAGAGCUAAGGGAGUGAAGGCAUAAUUUGAGACGGCGAUAGCCGCUUGACUGGCAAUGAUGCUAUGAAAAUUUUCGCCAUGUCCAAUUUGUCUAGGCCUGAACUCAAGCAGGUAUAUUCUGUUAUGUGUCUGGAUGGGGAAUUAUUGUACGCACAUAGUAGGUAGGUGAUGUGGAUGAAUAAUUUAAUAUCGAUUAUGGAAAGGACCUUCUCUCUCUCUCUCUCGGAGGAAAAAUGUUAAAUGUGCGACUGGUCUACUGCUUAAGAAAUAUUAUUAGUAUAGUCGAUUUGGAGUUUUUUUUAAUUGUUUUGGUUAUUGGUUUAGUAAGUGAGUCGAAGUGCUAGAUUUAUGAAAUCUGAUGUACCUGUAUCUGCGUUUUAAUUUUAUGCACUCCAAAGUGGAAAUUGUCAAUGUCAAAGGCAGUUUUGAUAUAUUCAUCUACCAGCGGAAAACUCUAAUUGCCGUUAGGAGAUGAAAUUGAAUUACUAAGACAUUGAAGGAUUUUACCUUCGAAAUUUUUGUUAUCUCUCUUUUGCUGUUUACCUUUAUUGCAUUGAUCAUCGUCCUUACCAGGGUUUUAGAGCCAUAGCGAGCCAUAUUUCUUUUCAAUUGCUGGACUUAUGGAUUAUCCGUUCUCUAGUUUGUUUGACCAUUGUGAUUGCUACCACAGUUGGUAAUUUGCUCUUGAAACAUGUUUGUUAGCGUAUUUGAAGUGGCAGAGGAGUUUGAAUUGAACUCCAGAUAUGUUGAAUCCACAAUUUCUUAUGUUGUCUUGGGAACAUUGUUGGCUGCUUUGGUCCCUGUUCUGGGCUUUAAUCCGGUCAUGGCAUCCGAGCAUUUUGCUUCAUUUUUGGGUAAUUUGCUGUGCCAUGGUGACUGUACUUAUAGCAUUAGUAGCCUCCAGCCCAACUAAGGGUUGGAGUGGGCGUAGUCUAAGUCUGCUUGAUCCGCAUGCUUUUUGCCACUUUCUGAUGCAAGCUCCUUUAGCAUCCUUUACAUAGUUACAUUAGUAUAUUUUUCAGGUGUCAUGGUGCCACUAAUGCUUGUACUUGGUCCAGCAGUAUGCAAAAUGCCUGGAAUUUCUCUU